UACGGGGGGUGCAAGCGUUAAUCGGAAUUACUGGGCGUAAAGGGUCUGUAGGUGGUUUGUUAAGUCAGAUGUGAAAGCCCAGGGCUCAACCUUGGAACUGCAUUUGAUACUGGCAAACUAGAGUAUGGUAGAGGAAUGAGGAAUUUCUGGUGUAGCGGUGAAAUGCGUAGAGAUCAGAAGGAACACCGAUGGCGAAGGCAACAUUCUGGACUGAUACUGACACUGAGGGACGAAAGCGUGGGGAUCAAACAGG
rnacentral:misc_RNA from 1 species